AUACGGAGGGGACUAGCGUUGUUCGGAAUUAUUGGGCGUAAAGAGCAUGUAGGCGGUCUGUUAAGUCUGGUGUGAAAGCCCGGGGCUCAACCCCGGAAGUGCAUUGGAUACUGGCAGACUUGAGUAUGGGAGAGGAAAGCGGAAUUCCGAGUGUAGGAGUGAAAUCCGUAGAUAUUCGGAGGAACACCAGUGGCGAAGGCGGCUUUCUGGACCAAUACUGACGCUGAGAUGCGAAAGCGUGGGGAGCAAACAGGAUUAGAAACCCGUGUAGUCC
rnacentral:rRNA from 1 species